rnacentral:rRNA from 1 species
UACGUAGGGGGCGAGCGUUGUUCGGAAUCACUGGGCGUAAAGCGUGCGUAGGCGGUUAUGAAAGUUAGGAGUGAAAGCCCCAGGCUCAACUUGGGAAUUGCUCUUAAUACUCCAUGACUCGAAUUCGGGAGAGGAUAGCGGAAUUGUCAGUGUAGCAGUGAAAUGCGUAGAUAUUGACAGGAACACCGGUGGCGUAAGCGGCUAUCUGGACCGACAUUGACGCUGAGGCACGAAAGCGUGGGGAUCAAACAGG